rnacentral:rRNA from 1 species
GACGAACGCUGGCGGCGUGCUUAACACAUGCAAGUCGAACGAUGAAGCCGGAGCUUGCUCUGGUGAAUUAGUGGCGAACGGGUGAGUAACACGUGAGUAACCUGCCCUUGACUCUGGGAUAACUGCGGGAAACUGUAGCUAAUACCGGAUACGACCCUCGGAGGCAUCUCCUGGGGGUGGAAAGAAUUUCGGUCAAGGAUGGACUCGCGGCCUAUCAGCUAGUUGGUGAGGUAAAGGCUCACCAAGGCGACGACGGGUAGCCGGCCUGAGAGGGUGACCGGCCACACUGGGACUGAGACACGGCCCAGACUCCUACGGGAGGCAGCAGUGGGGAAUAUUGCACAAUGGGCGCAAGCCUGAUGCAGCAACGCCGCGUGAGGGAUGAAGGUCUUCGGAUUGUAAACCUCUUUCAGUAGGGAAGAAGCGAAAGUGACGGUACCUAAAGAAGAAGCACCGGCUAACUAUGUGCCAGCCGCCGCAGUAA